rnacentral:rRNA from 1 species
UACGGAGGGUGCAAGCGUUAUCCGGAUUCACUGGGUUUAAAGGGUGCGUAGGUGGGUCUGUAAGUCCGUGGUGAAAUCUCCGAGCUUAACUUGGAAACUGCCAUGGAUACUAUAGGUCUUGAAUAUUGUGGAGGUCAGCGGAAUAUGUCAUGUAGCGGUGAAAUGCUUAGAUAUGACAUAGAACACCAAUUGCGAAGGCAGCUGGCUACGCAUAUAUUGACACUGAGGCACGAAAGCGUGGGGAUCAAAACAGG